UGGGUUGUGGCUCAGUGGUAGAGCGCUCGCCUAGGCGUGUGAGGCCCUGGGUUCGAUCCUCAUGCACCACAU
rnacentral:tRNA from 1 species